rnacentral:lncRNA from 1 species
UGAGCAUGUUCAAAACUUUGAACGGGCAUCCAACGGAUAAAAUGUCCGUUGAACGUCCGUUAGGCGUCCGUUUUGUACGGUACUCGUCCGUUUCGUUUCCGUUUUGUAUCCGUUACGUGUCCGUUAUACAUCCGUUGGAGGUCUGGAAGAUAAAUUCACCAACGGACUUCUACCCGACGUUUAACGGAUAAAACGGAUGUUGAACGGAUGAGAAACGGACUUCUACCGGACGUAUAACGGAUAAAACGGAUGAUGAACGGAUAUGAAACGGAUAAAUGCAAAUUGAGAAAUUUCGCGUCAGAAAUGCCAAUUAUUGGUAUGUCAGAUUUCUUAAGGUUCAUGAAUUCUUA